rnacentral:rRNA from 1 species
GUAGGUUGUGUUGGGCGUUCGGUGGAUGCCUUGGCAUGAUGGGCCGAAGAAGGACGUUGUAGCCUGCGAUAAGCCUCGGGGAAUUGGCUAGCGAGUUUUGAUCCGAGGGUGUCCGAAUGGGGAAACCUGGCUGGGGUGAUGCCUGGUCGCUGCCUCCUGAAUUGAUAGGGGGGUGGUGGUAACGCGGGGAAGUGAAACAUCUUAGUACCUGCUGGAGUAGAUAUUCCGUGAGUAGUGGCGAGCGAAAGCGGAGGAGCCUAAACCUAGUGUGUGUGUUGAGCCGUCGGGUGGUGCAUGCUGGGGGUUGUGGGACGUGUCUUUAUCCUGACCGACGUUGGGGUGCGUAGUGAUAAACCUGGGUGAUAGGUGAAGGGUCUGGGAAGGCCUGCCGGAGAGCGUGAGAGCCGUGUAACUGGAAUUGCCUGGGCUGCGUUGAUGUGUUCCCGAGUAGCACGGGGCUCGUGGAAUCUCGUGUGAAUCUGCCAUGACCAUGUGGUAAGGCUGAAUACCUGUUGUGACCGAUAGCGGAUAGUACCGUGAGGGAAUGGUGAAAAGUACCCCGGGAGGGGAGUGAAAUAGUGCCUGAAACCGGGCGCCUACAAUCCGUCAGAGCUCCUGUGUGGGGGUGAUGGCGUGCCUAUUGAAGAAUGAGCCUGCGAGUUAGUGAUGCGUGGCGAGGUUAACCCGUGUGGGGUAUCCGUAGCGAAAGCGAGUCUGUUAAGGGCGGUAGUUGCGUGUUCUAGACCCGAAGCGGGGUGAUCUACCCAUGGCCAGUGUGAAGCAUGUGUAAGAGCGUGUGGAGGCGCGAACCCACUUCAGUUGAAAAUGGAGGGGAUGAGCUGUGGGUAGGGGUGAAAGGCCAAUCAAACUCCGUGAUAGCUGGUUCUCCCCGAAAUGCAUUUUGGUGCAGCGUGUUGUGGUCUGCCUUGGAGGUAGAGCGACUGGAUGGUGGACGGGCCCUGUCGGGUUACUGAUAUCAGCCAAACUCCGAAUGCCAGGGACAGGUAGCAGCGCAGUGAGACUGUGGGGAAUAAACUUCAUGGUCGAGAGGGAAACAGCCCAGACCGCCGGUUAAGGCCCCUAAGUGUGUGCUAAGUGGGAAAGGAUGUGGAGUUGCUGUGACAACCAGGAGGUUGGCUUAGAAGCAGCCAUCCUUGAAAGAGUGCGUAAUAGCUCACUGGUCAAGUGAUUCUGCGCCGACAAUGUAGCGGGGCUGAAGUACACCGCCGAAACCGCGGCAAUGAUCAUCAUCCUUGUGGUGGUGUUGGGUAGGGGAGCGUCGUGUUCGAGGUGAAGCAGCCUGGUGAUGGGUUGUGGAUUGGACGCGAGUGAGAAUGCAGGCAUGAGUAACGAGAGGCGGGUGAGAAUCCCGUCCGCUGUAUGACUAAGGGUUCCAGGGGCAGGCUUGUCCGCCCUGGGUUAGUCGGGUCCUAAGGCGAGGCCGUCAGGCGUAGUCGAUGGGUGACCAGUUCAUAUUCUGGUACCGGUAGAGAACCGUCCGUGUGGUCCGUGUUGAUGCUAACCACCCCAAACUGUCUGUCCUGUGCAGGAUUUUUCUUGUAUGGGUGGGCGGGGCGGCGUGGGGUCCGAAGUACGGGUCGCAAGCGUGGUAACAGGUGUGACGCAGAGUGGUAGUUCAGCGUGUCUUAUGGCUUGGCACGUUCAAGGGUGUGGCCCGUUUUCUAGGUAAAUCCGGGAGACGUGUGGGUGAGGCCUGAUGAGGACCCAGUAUAUGGGGUAGUGAAUGAUCCUGGGCUGCCGAGAAAAGCAUCGACGCGAGGUUUGAACCGCCCGUACCCGAAACCGACACUGGUGGUCUGGUAGAGAAUACUAAGGCGUGCGAGUGAAUCAUGAUUAAGGAACUCGGCAAAAUGCCCCCGUAACUUCGGGAGAAGGGGGACCUGAGACUUGGCAUGCCCCGUGCGGGUAUGUGGGGUUGAGGGUCGCAGAGUCUAGGGAGAAGCGACUGUUUAUCAAAAACACAGGUCCGUGCGAAGCUGUAAGGCGAUGUAUACGGACUGACGCCUGCCCGGUGCUGGAAGGUUAAGCAGACUGGUGAGCACUCCUUGUGGGUGUGAGGCUGGGAAGUUAAGCCCCAGUAAACGGCGGUGGUAACUAUAACCAUCCUAAGGUAGCGAAAUUCCUUGUCGGGUAAGUUCCGACCUGCACGAAUGGCGUAACGACUUCUCCACUGUCUCGAUCAUGAACUCGGUGAAAUUGCAUUACGAGUAAAGAUGCUCGUUUCGCGUAGCAGGACGGAAAGACCCCGGGACCUUUACUAUAGCUUGGUAUUGGUGUUCGGUACGGCUUGUGUAGGAUAGGUGGGAGACGGUGAAGCAGUCACGCUAGUGGGUGUGGAGUCAUUGGUGAAAUACCACUCUGGCCGUGUUGCACUUCUAACCUCGACCCGUGAUCCGGGUCAGGGACAGUGCCUGGUGGGUAGUUUAACUGGGGCGGUUGCCUCCUAAAAAGUAACGGAGGCGCUCAAAGGUUCCCUCGGCCUGGUUGGUAACCAGGUGGUGAGUGUAAGUGCACAAGGGAGCUUGACUGUGAGACAGACAUGUCGGGCAGGUACGAAAGUAGGAACUAGUGAUCCGGCAGUGGCUUGUGGAAGCGCUGUCGCUCAACGGAUAAAAGGUACCCCGGGGAUAACAGGCUGAUCCUUCCCAAGAGUUCAUAUCGACGGAAUGGUUUGGCACCUCGAUGUCGGCUCGUCGCAUCCUGGGGCUGGAGUAGGUCCCAAGGGUUAGGCUGUUCGCCUAUUAAAGCGGUACGCGAGCUGGGUUCAGAACGUCGUGAGACAGUUCGGUCCCUAUCCGCUACGCGCGUUGGAGAAUUGUGAAGGGCUGUCCCUAGUACGAGAGGACCGGGAUGGACGAACCUCUAGUGUGCCAGUUGUUCCGCCAGGAGCACGGCUGGUUAGCCACGUUCGGGAGGGAUAACCGCUGAAAGCAUCUAAGCGGGAAGCCUGCUUCAAGAUAAGUUCUCCUACCAGCCCUGUGGGGUUGGGUGAGGCCUCCUAGAGAUGAUGGGAUGGAUAGGCCGGAAGUAGACGCCUUGUAAAGGGUGGAGCUGACCGGUACUAAUGGCCGAAAACCUACAC